rnacentral:rRNA from 1 species
AGGACGAACGCUGGCGGCGUGCCUAACACAUGCAAGUCGAACGAACGGAGAGGAGCUUGCUCCUCGAAGUUAGUGGCGGACGGGUGAGUAACGCGUGGGUAACCUGCCUCAUGCAGGGGGAUAACAUCUGGAAACGGAUGCUAAUACCGCAUAAACUAUCGAGUACCGCAUGGUGCUUAUAGCAAAGAUUUAUCGGCAUGAGAUGGACCCGCGUUGGAUUAGCUAGUUGGUGAGAUAACAGCCCACCAAGGCGACGAUCCAUAGCCGGCCUGAGAGGGUGAACGGCCACAUUGGGACUGAGACACGGCCCAAACUCCUACGGGAGGCAGCAGUGGGGAAUAUUGCACAAUGGGCGAAAGCCUGAUGCAGCAACGCCGCGUGAAGGAUGAAGGUCUUCGGAUUGUAAACUUCUAUCAGCAGGGAAGAAUAAAUGACGGUACCUGACUAAGAAGCUCCGGCUAACUACGUG